rnacentral:rRNA from 1 species
CUGGCUCAGGAUGAACGCUAGCUACAGGCUUAACACAUGCAAGUCGAGGGGCAGCAUGGGAUUAGCUUGCUAAUCCUGAUGGCGACCGGCGCACGGGUGAGUAACGCGUAUCCAACCUUCCCCUUACUCAGGGAUAGCCCGGUGAAAACCGGAUUAACACCUGAUGGUUUCAUUAGAUGGCAUCUGACGAUGAAUAAAGGCUUACGGUAAGGGAUGGGGAUGCGUCUGAUUAGCUUGUUGGCGGGGUAACGGCCCACCAAGGCAACGAUCAGUAGGGGUUCUGAGAGAAAGGUCCCCCCACAUUGGAACUGAGACACGGUCCAAACUCCUACGGGAGGCAGCAGUGAGGAAUAUUGGUCAAUGGGCGAGAGCCUGAACCAGCCAAGUAGCGUGCAGGAAGACCGGCCCUAUGGGUUGUAAACUGCUUUUGUACGGGAAUAAAGUCAUCCACGUGUGGAUGUUUGCAUGUACCGUAAGAAUAAGGACCGGCUAAUUCCGUGCCAGCCGCCGC